rnacentral:lncRNA from 1 species
CGGACGGCCAAGUUUUACUGUCUAGCAGAGUUCAAUCGUCUUUUCUCCAUGAUAAACAAUGAGUGAGUGAGAACUUAUGUAGUACGUGCACAACUCUAUAAGUGGUCUCGAGCCCAUUGUGACGGACGACGAUAUAAUGUCAUGACAACUAAUAUUAGGGAGUCCACUAAUUCAGUUCUUCGUUUUGGAAGGAUGCUUCCGGUGGUACACUUGAUUGAGGAAAUUAGGAAUGUGCUUCAGAAUUGGUUUAGUCAACGUCGAGAUUUGUCAAUGAAAUAUAA